rnacentral:lncRNA from 10 species
ACACAGGUGGCCAUACCUCCAGAGAAGUACUUCAGCGGUAGAAGACUCAAGCGGCUGGUCCUCCAGAGGACCUCGAGAGGAGCAUGUUGGCAGAAAAACACACCGACAGACAUCUGCACGCCUGCAGGCCAUUGAUUGAGGGGACUAGGCGGAGUUUGGCCGGGGCUGUUGGAGGAGAGCCGGGGCCACCUAGCGGCCCAAUUCCAGGGGAAAAUCGUCUGCCUCUGGCUCCUCCAUCAGCUGAGAGCUACUUCCACUCAAUAAAACUUUGUACUCUUUCUCCAGUCCCGCAUGUGAUCCGAUUCUUCCGGUACACCAAGGCAAGAACCCGGGAUACAGAAAGCCCUCUGUCCUUGCGACAAGGUAGAGGUUCUAAUUGAGCGGACUUACACAAGACACCUAUAGACGGCAAAUUAAAAGAGCACCCUGUAACACACGCCCACUGGGGCUUCAGGAGCUGUAAACGUUCACCCCUAGACACUGCCGUGGAGUCAAGAGCCCCACAGCCUGCCCAUCUGUAUGCUCCCCUAGAAGUUUGAGCAGCGGGGCACUGAAGAAGCAAGCCACACCCACAUCGCACGCCCUGCGAGGGGGAUGACGGAACCUUUCCCGUUUCAAUAUGACCAUAGGCUCAAUUUUCCUACAUAAUUAAGAGUUUGGAAUUCGGGCAAUAUCAAGAACCACAUCUGUCCUGAAAUCAAUUAUCUCUGUUUGAAACACAAGAAAUAAGAAGACCAUUUUGAGAAGAACAGAGAGUAGCCUUAAGAAAAUCCCUGUCGCAAGCACUCUGGGAUUUGGACUCAAAUGCUAAUUAUACAGUAAGUGAAAUGAACACAGCCUUCACAUUAACCUAAUGUAAAGCUGCAAAACCAUGA